GAUGAACGCUGGCGGCGUGCCUAAUACAUGCAAGUCGAGCGAACGGACGAGAAGCUUGCUUUUCUGAUGUUAGCGGCGGACGGGUGAGUAACACGUGGAUAACCUACCUAUAAGACUGGGAUAACUUCGGGAAACCGGAGCUAAUACCGGAUAAUAUUUUGAACCGCAUGGUUCAAAAGUGAAAGACGGUCUUGCUGUCACUUAUAGAUGGAUCCGCGCUGCAUUAGCUAGUUGGUAAGGUAACGGCUUACCAAGGCAACGCUGCAUAGCCGACCUGAGAGGGUGAUCGGCCACACUGGAGCUGAGACACGGUCCAGACUCCUACGGGAGGCAGCAGUAGGGAAUCUUCCGCAAUGGGCGAAAGCCUGACGGAGCAACGCCGCGUGAGUGAUGAAGGUCUUCGGAUCGUAAAACUCUGUUAUUAGGGAAGAACAUAUGUGUAAGUAACUGUGCACAUCUUGACGGUACCUAAUCAGAAAGCCACGGCUAACUACGUG
rnacentral:rRNA from 1 species